rnacentral:tRNA from 1 species
CAGCAGGUGGCGUAAUGGUUAGAGCUAUCAACUUGUGAUUGAGGGACACGGGUUCGAAUUCCCACUCCUGCUCU